UAAAAACAAGAUGCGUACCCAGUACCUCUAAACCCAGCGGCUCCUAUACAAAUCUCUCUUCCCUUCCUCUUAAAUACCCACUUCUCUCUUUUCUUUCUUCCUCCAAUCCCACAAUCUCUCAACCUCUCAAUUUCCCAUUUCCUCAAUUUUUUCCUCCCAAAAUGCGGAUGAGUUGUAAUGGAUGUCGAGUUCUGCGCAAGGGCUGCAGUGAGAAUUGCAGUAUUAGACCUUGCUUGCAGUGGAUCAAGAGCCC
rnacentral:misc_RNA from 1 species